rnacentral:rRNA from 1 species
UACGUAGGGUGCGAGCGUUAAUCGGAAUUACUGGGCGUAAAGCGUGCGCAGGCGGUUUUGUAAGCCAGAUGUGAAAUCCCCGGGCUUAACCUGGGAAUGGCAUUUGGGACUGCAAGGCUUGAGUGCGGCAGAGGAGACUGGAAUUCCUGGUGUAGCGGUGGAAUGCGCAGAUAUCAGGAGGAACACCAAUAGCGAAGGCAGCUCGCUGGGACGGUACUGACGCUAAGGCGCGAAAGCGUGGGGAGCGAACAGG